UGGGGAGGUCGUGCCAACCCAAGCCUGACCAGAGAGUAAUCAACCUUUCUCCAGAGUGGCCAGGACAGCUCAGCCAGGGGCCCUCACACAAGACAAUCUCUGCUUUGCCACUGUACUCCACGCGCUGCAGAUGCCCAGGUGAACACCACAGGAGACUGUGUGUGAGCUGGCGAGGGGCUUCCCUGGCAGGGUGGAGUCCUGGGCUGAUUGUCAGCUCUGAACAGAACUGGGUGUGGUAGCUGGUUCACACCUAUAACCUCAGAACUCAGGAGGCGGAGUCUGAAGGCUCGAAAGUUCCAAGUCCAAGGCUACACAGUGAGUUUCAGACCAGCUGGGCUCCAGGAGUCCUGCCUCAAACUAACAGCAAAGAUGAGCAGGACAAUUCCAGUCCACUCGGCACCCGUGGUGGUUUUCUUAUAAGCAACUGCGUGAGAAUCAACGCUGAGAGGGACAGACGACAUCAUCUUUGUUAUUACGAACAGGAAGAAGGCUUUGGGACACACGGUCCAGUGGGAGAGUGCCUGCCUGCCAGGUGCAAGGCCAUUCCUGAACUGGACCUAAAACUACUUUUCUUUUUUCCUUUUGAAUUAAAAAAAAAAGUGAAAUUGUUGAGGUUUAAAAGUUCACCUUGAGAUGUGGUUCAUGGCGGUUACAAGGACGGGAAAUGGUUAAGAGCUGCUGCCGCAUGCAUGGACGAUGGCUGGACACAGAAUCAGGACCUCACCGCACAUGCUGGGAAAACGCUCCAGCACUGAGCCACAGCCCUGGACCCCCGAGGCCAGGCUUAAGGAUUGCAGAGAGAGCCAGGGCAGGAGACGUGCUGAGGCCAGCAUCUCGGCAGGAGCACAGCCUGGGAGGAACACCAUGCAGUUUUGCACACUCAGCAUCAGGUGGGCAGAGCAGAGACAGCCAAGGUAGAAUUAGCCUGGGAGGAGGAGGUGCAGACAGCUCGGAGCAGCCUGGAUGGCUGCACGCCUGCCUCAACAGAGCGAGGGCAGAGGCGGAGGGCUGUCUGAGGCGCAGGAAGGCGCACGUAAGGAAUGGGGGGCCAACACGGGCGUGCGCCUGGAGGCAGAGCACUGGGGACUAUCCUCAACAUACCUGCGUUGGUGAGGGCCUCGGCACCAUGCUAGGAGAGGAGAAACGGGGACCCAGCAGUGACGACGGCAGCAAACAGUGAAAUGAGGAGUGGAAGGGAUACAGCAAGAAGGAGUACCUACAUCCAGCUCAGCCCGUCUCCACCUCCUGUUUACUCUGCAGACCCCGAUAAAGCAGUCUCUCUCUUCCUGAGAGAAGGUCUCCACAGGGCUCACAAGGACAAGCUUGCAUUUCCAACCCUCCUGCCUUCACUCCUGUAGCAAGGGUCUGCAGGUACACCCUCAGGCUCAAGCUACACAGUGUGGGCCCACACAGGCACGUCCCUGCAUCCCCAGAGUUUUCUGUUUCAAAGACUGAAAAUAGUCACACAAGGAGAGACGGGGAACGUGGGGUGGAAGCAGUUAAUUACAAUAUAGGUAUUAUAAAUAUGGGGAGAGACUAAGGAGGUGUGGCUGUCGCCACCCCGUCAAAACACACCCCCAAGACGCUGAGUGCAGGAGGGGGCUGGGCGCCAGCUGUGCUCACACGGCAGCAGCAUGUGCAGUCCAGGUUCCAGCAGGAGACAGCCCAGAGCACGUUGUUGAGGCACGUAUGCGUGCGGGUGUGAGAGGCCUGAGGCCGACACAUGCCUCAAUGGCUGCUCACCCUCCGAGAAGAGCAAGGGUUCUGGCUUCUUCAAGGGGGGGUCCUGCCCCAUCUCCUGAACCCUGACACUCUGAAUCUUAGGAAGACCCUCACGUGGCAGGCGGAGUAUCAUGCUUGAAUCGUUCAGCUCUAGAGCACACAACCCUCAGACCCAGGGAGCUGUGAACAGCCCAACGGGUGGGCACAAGCAUGGCUAGCACACCUGUGCAAGGCUGCCGCACUGGAGAACCCGUCUAUCACAAUGUGGUACACCUGCAGAGCUUGGGAAGAGUGCCCUGUGGGCUGUCUGCUCGGUGCCAGGACGUAUACAUGCAAGACAGCUGCCAUGGGCAUACCAGACAACUCUGUCCAAACCAGGAAGCACACCGGCUGCAGACACGGGCGGAAAGAUCACAAAUACUAAGACCCUCCACGCCCACUCUCCAGGCAACCCCAAAGCACCUGAGCCCUGGGAUUACAGGCAUGUACUACCAUGCCUCCGUUAUGAAGCACCAGGGACUGGACCCAGGGCUUCCGCGUGUUAGGCUGCACCAACAAGCGACACCCCAGCCUGAUUGUGUAUGAUUUAACUGCAGUCCUUAAAUCUCUACAAGAAUGCACAGUCCACCAUCUAAUUUCAUCAACGUGAAACUGAUCUGCAUGGCGGUUAGGCCUGUGCCCCAAAACUCCAGGCACUGCUGGUUUUUCAAUGGCAAAAGACCUGCACUCGCUGCCUCCUUAAGGUCCAGGUGAGGGGCUUCCUGGGUGAGUUGGGGGCUGUAUACUCCCACAGAGGCAGAGAGGAGCCUUUCCCACCUGAACUGACUGCAGACCAGCCCUCACUGAAGGCCUUCCAUCUUCAGGCUCCUCCCUCCUCAGGACACACAGUUCUGUCACCCUUGGGAAACAAGCAUGUGUGUAGCCGAGACUUCCAGGAGCAGGAACAGUGGAGGGAUGGAGAGCGACAGAGUCUCACAGGGCAGCCGCUCUCGCCAUACAGGAAGUUGAGGUCCACCGCAUGGACACACAGCACUGGCCCAGCAGCUCUUCCUAGAAACAGUCCUGGAUGAGCCUUCCCUUUUCCAGCUUGCAGUCCUAUGGACAAGGGGGCUACUCCGAAGCACUGGGAGAAGCUGCCAAUUUUGCCACUUUAGGACUUAGGUCUUAACUGCUUCUCUGUUUGGAUCCUGUAACCUAAGGGACUGUUCCUUCCCAAGAGGCCGCUUCAGCCCCAACCUUUUGGUUCCUCAUCUUUGCAACCUCCAUUUCAUUCCAGUUAGGGAGAAGUCUGUAAUUCUUAUUCCUUAACCCAGUCCUGCCUCCCAACACGGUCCAGGGUUCCCCCCAUUGCCAAUCUAUUGAGAGGCCAACCUGGAGCCCUGUUACUGCAUUUCAUCUCAGAAGCCAUGACUGAAACAUAUCUGCUCAUGAUUCCUAGGACCACAGGGUUCUGCUCAUCCACUAAGAACAGGGGAUAAUUAAAACAAAAAAACAAAUGAGGGAAGAAAAAAGAAAACCCACACCCUUGACUUCUGAAACAAUUUAAACCGCAAAGCAUGAAAUCAAUAUCGAAAGUUCCAAGCUGAUUAAAAUAGAAACCACUAAGUCAUCCAGACUCAUGGCAUAAACAUAACAUCAACAGCCACUAAGAAUUCAUUGAAAGUAAAUUUAUUGUUUGGAUUAAAAACACAAAAAGCAAAACUUCUUUGAGACACAUUUCCUGUAUCCCAGGCUGGCCUCAAGCUCACUAUGUAGUGGAGGGUGACCUUGAACUUCCGAGCCUCCUGCCUCCACGCCCCAAGUGCUGGGACUGCAGGCGUGGGCCAGCACACCUGGUGUACAGCAUGCUGGGGCCCUGCGCACAGGAGGCAGGCACCCGGGCAGAGCCCAGCCCAGCCCCCACGCCUGGAAAAACCAUCGUGCAGCUGGGCUGCUCAACAGUUUGGCUCUGGCGUGCCGCUCAUCUCUUCUCCGGCUUCAGCUUGGCUAGGCUGGGUGAGAAACACGUACAGACAAGGUUAGUAAGCCCGGUGAGGGGCUGCCACACACUUGCCUCUCCCCCAACGGCCCGAGGCGGGUCAUCUACACCCCUGCAGUGAGGUUUGGGACCUGACCGCCCUGUCAUCCUGAGUCACGGUUUUCCGAAGAGCGCGCUCUGGCAGUGUGUCUGAUGUCACCCAGGAACAAGGCCGGUCACCUCUGUUUUCUCUCAGACCCACGCCAGGCCGCGUCACCACUUCCAGGUGGCUGUUGUCACCAGAGGAGUCCGUUUUAGCAAGCUAGCAGCAGUAGCGAGAUAGCCCAGUGAGCAAAGGUGCCUGCUGCCAGCCUUCCUGAGCUCAGUACACACCCAGGACACAAAUGGAGAGAACCUCCACAUAUGUGCCACUGCAUGCGUGCCCACUCACACAUACAAAAUAAAUCAAAUUUAAGGUAA